ACCACUCGCACUACCACUAAAAAAGUACGUUCUAUCUUCAAAUCAAAGUAUGGACGUGAGGCACAUCACUCUAUGCUUGUUCUUGGUGCUGCUCAUUAAUGCAGACCCAACAUCUGCAGGGAGCUGUCGGCAAUUUGUUGUCAUGAGUUCUUUCUGUUCUAAAUGGGUAUGCAAAAUCCAGUGUAAGCUUGAGGCGAAGUACUCCUCAUCAUAUGUUCAGUCACACCACUGUGAAGGGUCAUUUUUCAAGAGUGGUGUUUGUGUAUGCGAAUUGUGCUACAAAAAAAACUAGUACGUGUACCAAGGCACUGAUGUCCGAUGCAUCAUCGAGGAUAAAAUAAUGAGACUUUUACAUUUCAUCGAACAAUUUUCUGAGAUUAUUUUGUUAGCCUUUGUUUCAAUAGUUUUAGGUAGUACUUGUUACUAGAUAGCCUUCUUGUUGGGUCGUUAUCUCAAGUACCUUAUUUUAGGUACUACUUAUUUUUAGGUCAGUAGUUAGUACAUUGAGAUAAAAUAGAUGCCAAGUAUGUUUUGUGUACGUUUAUUUUCGGUAAAUCCUUCCUUGUUGUUUGUUCAAAAUAUUAGUGUUUCAGCUGUGGCUUGUGGCCGUUGAAGUCCACUCUGUUAUUUUAA